ACGCUCGACACCUACGGGAGUCAGCAGUAGGGAAUCUUCCACAAUGGACGCAAGUCUGAUGGAGCAACGCCGCGUGAGUGAAGAAGGUCUUCGGAUCGUAAAACUCUGUUGUUAGAGAAGAACACGAGUGAGAGUAACUGUUCAUUCGAUGACGGUAUCUAACCAGCAAGUCACGGCUAACUACGUGCCAGCAGCCGCGGUAAUCUGAGCGGGCUGGCAAGGC
rnacentral:rRNA from 1 species